CAAUCCUGGUGGCGAGUGGCGAACGGGUGAGUAAUAUAUCGGAACGUGCCCAGUCGUGGGGGAUAACGCAGCGAAAGCUGUGCUAAUACCGCAUACGAUCUCUGGAUGAAAGCGGGGGACCUUCGGGCCUCGCGCGAUUGGAGCGGCCGAUAUCAGAUUAGCUAGUUGGUGGGGUAAAAGCUCACCAAGGCGACGAUCUGUAGCUGGUCUGAGAGGACGACCAGCCACACUGGAACUGAGACACGGUCCAGACUCCUACGGGAGGCAGCAGUGGGGAAUUUUGGACAAUGGGCGCAAGCCUGAUCCAGCAAUGCCGCGUGCAGGAUGAAGGCCUUCGGGUUGUAAACUGCUUUUGUACGGAACGAAACGGCUCUUUCUAAUAAAGAGGGCUAAUGACGGUACCGUAAGAAUAAGCACCGGCUAACUACGUGCCAGCAGCCGCGGUAAU
rnacentral:rRNA from 1 species